AUUGAACGCUGGCGGCAGGCCUAACACAUGCAAGUCGAGCGGAUGAAGGGAGCUUGCUCCUGGAUUCAGCGGCGGACGGGUGAGUAAUGCCUAGGAAUCUGCCUGGUAGUGGGGGAUAACGUCCGGAAACGGGCGCUAAUACCGCAUACGUCCUGAGGGAGAAAGUGGGGGAUCUUCGGACCUCCCGCUAUCAGAUGAGCCUAGGUCGGAUUAGCUAGUUGGUGGGGUAAAGGCCUACCAAGGCGACGAUCCGUAACUGGUCUGAGAGGAUGAUCAGUCACACUGGAAGUGAGAAACGGUUCCGACUCCCAAGGGAGGGAGCAGGGGGGGAAAUUGGACAAAGGGGGCAAGGCUGAUCCAACCAUUGCCGGGGGGUGAAAAAAGCUUUCGGGUUUGAAAGCCCUUUUAGGUGGGAAGAAAAGCAGGAAGUUAAUACCCUGGUGUUUUGACGGUACCCAAAAAAAAAGCAACGGCUAACUUCGUG
rnacentral:rRNA from 1 species